rnacentral:rRNA from 1 species
GAUGAACGCUGGCGGCGUGCCUAAUACAUGCAAGUCGAGCGAACAGACGAGGAGCUUGCUCCUCUGACGUUAGCGGCGGACGGGUGAGUAACACGUGGAUAACCUACCUAUAAGACUGGGAUAACUUCGGGAAACCGGAGCUAAUACCGGAUAAUAUAUUGAACAGCAUGGUUCAAUAGUGAAAGACGGUUUUGCUGUCACUUAUAGAUGGAUCCGCGCCGCAUUAGCUAGUUGGUAAGGUAACGGCUUACCAAGGCGACGAUGCGUAGCCGACCUGAGAGGGUGAUCGGCCACACUGGAACUGAGACACGGUCCAGACUCCUACGGGAGGCAGCAGUAGGGAAUCUUCCGCAAUGGGCGAAAGCCUGACGGAGCAACGCCGCGUGAGUGAUGAAGGUCUUCGGAUCGUAAAACUCUGUUAUUAGGGAAGAACAAAUGUGUAAGUACCUAUGCACGUCUUGACGGUACCUAAUCAGAAAGCCACGGCUAACUCCGUG